rnacentral:lncRNA from 1 species
AGUCUGGGGUCUUUCCCGGCUUCCCUCCUUCCUAGCCCCACGUUCUCCCACCCUCGGGCUCUCCUUUCUAGACCCGAGCGCACGUGGGAGGCAGAGUGCUACCGAGACGGGGAAGACCUCCGCACCGUCCUAGAGAGGCCGGGGACGGUGCCCCCGCAGGGAGGGAGCGCCGCACGCACGCACGCCUCGCCUGCUCUCGCCUGGGCCUCACUUCCGGCGGCAGGCAGCGCCAUGGUCCUCUCCGGGCUCGGUAGAUUCAUGCUACAAUGAAGAAAUGGCAGCCCUCCAAGCAUCAGAGUCCCCUCCUGGCUCCGCUUCUCUCAGCUGUUCAUCACUUGAGACUCAACAUGUUGACAGAAUGGUGCUCCAUGACUUCCAUGAAUCACAAUCCACUCCAUCUGCUCCCAAGGUUCCCACACUUCUCAAGGAGAAUUCAGGAGACCAGGUGAUGGCAGCAGCACCUUUGACAACUAGGUCUCAGAUGCCCUUCCCCAUCUUUCUGUUGCUGCCAGCUUUGCCCAUCAUCCUGGGGCAGCCUGGUGGGAUUGUCACCAGGGCAGCAGGACCCUGUUGUUUUAGGAGUCGGUGAUGUUUGAGGAUGUGGCCAUGUAUCUCACACCAGAGGAGUGGGGGCAAGCCGACCCCACUCAGAGAGCCCUCUGCAGGGAUAGGAUGCUGGAGAGCUGCAGGAAUGACGUCGUCUUGGGUAAGGAUUCUCCCCAGUUCUACUCACAGUUUUUAACCCUAUUUCUUCUUUUCCCCGUUUGUUCAUGAACAUGAGACAUUCAAUGUUCCAUCAGACCAGGAGUCCAUUAAAUAGAUAUUCGUUCUCUGGACAUUCAGUGGGACCAGUGAUUCCUUUUAGGGUAAAUGUGAUAGUUAACAUUCUAUGAAGUAAACAUCUCAGGGUUAGAGAAUGUUUCUCAAACAUGUUCCCUUUAGUGAGUGAAUGAAUGAAAGAGUGAUAAGCACUUAUUAAGUGCUAUGAAUACAAAUACAAAAGAGAGACCAUAUCUGUCAUCUGUUUGGAAGAGACAACACACUUCUAACCAUUGGGAGGGGUGGGUGGAGCAGGGGGGCCUGAGGGGCCCAAGGGGAGGAGAGAUUCUGGGCUUCCUCUGAAAUGGUUGGGGGAGGGAGUCAGUGUCUGGCCAGGAGAGGGGAAAGGAAAGAGGGUAUUGACAAGAGGGUUGGGAGAGAAAGGCACCAGGAAAUACUUGCUUUAGAACCUCUGACACCAGAUGGGAUCUGUGAAGUCAGGUGGGAGGAUGGAAGAGCCCUUUGUGUUUCAUUUUAGUUGUUUUAGGCAGCUUAGAUUUGUCUGGUAAGGCCUUGUGCCUUAAGAAAAAUUUAGCUAGACUUGAGAAAGCAAAGAAGAAGGUGACUAUAUGGAUGUCACGUAAUGCCAUUUAGUUUGUAUAACACCCCUGUAGUCUUUGAGAGAUUCCUGAAUUUGGUAUUUCAAGAACUGCUGGCUCAGGAAUGUCCUCAGUGAUAGACUUGUCUGCUCUCAGGGUCCUGUCCAGUCCAUUGUAUUGCUCCAAGCCAUUCUCCACUGCCUGUGCCUCCAGGGCUUCUCCCACAAGAAA